UNAGCAGGAUGUGAAAUCCCCGGGCUCAACCUGGGAACUGCGUUCUGAACUGGGUAGCUAGAGUAUNUCAGAGGGGGGUAGAAUUCCACGUGUAGCAGUGAAAUGCGUAGAGAUGUGGAGGAAUNCCGAUGGCGAAGGCAGCCCCCUGGGAUAAUACUGACGUUCAUGCUCGAAAGCGUGGGUAGCAAACAGGAUUAGAUACCCUGGUAGUCCACGCCCUAAACGAUGUCGAUUAGCUGUUGGGCAGCUUGACUGCUUAGUAGCGUAGCUAACGCGUGAAAUCGACCGCCUGGGGAGUACGGUCGCAAGAUUAAAACUCAAAGGAAUUGACGGGGACCCGCACAAGCGGUGGAUGAUGUGGAUUAAUUCGAUGCAACGCGAAGAACCUUACCUGGUCUUGACAUGUACGGAACCUUCCAGAGACGGAAGGGUGCCUUCGGGAGCCGUAACACAGGUGCUGCAUGGCUGUCGUCAGCUCGUGUCGUGAGAUGUUGGGUUAAGUCCCGCAACGAGCGCAACCCUUGUCAUUAGUUGCCAUCAUUCAGUUGGGCACUCUAAUGAGACUGCCGGUGACAAACCGGAGGAAGGUGGGGAUGACGUCAAGUCCUCAUGGCCCUUAUGACCAGGGCUUCACACGUCAUACAAUGGUCGGUACAAAGGGUAGCCAAGCCGCGAGGCGGAGCCAAUCUCAUAAAACCGAUCGUAGUCCGGAUUGCACUCUGCAACUCGAGUGCAUGAAGUCGGAAUCGCUAGUAAUCGCAGGUCAGCAUACUGCGGUGAAUACGUUCCCGGGUCUUGUACACACCGCCCGUCACACCAUGGGAGUGGGGGAUACCAGAAGUAGGUA
rnacentral:rRNA from 1 species